rnacentral:rRNA from 1 species
GUAACAAGGUCUCCGUUGGUGAACCAGCGGAGGGAUCAUUACUGAGUUACCGCUCAUCAACCCUUUGUGAACAUACCUUAACUGUUGCUUCGGCGGGUAGGCGUCCCCUAAAAAGGACGUCUCCCGGCCCUCUCCCGUCCGCGGGUGGGGCGCCCGCCGGAGGAUAACCAAACUCUGAUUUAACGACGUUUCUUCUGAGUGACACAAGCAAAUAAUCAAAACUUUUAACAACGGAUCUCUUGGUUCUGGCAUCGAUGAAGAACGCAGCGAAAUGCGAUAAGUAAUGUGAAUUGCAGAAUUCAGUGAAUCAUCGAAUCUUUGAACGCACAUUGCGCCCGCCAGCAUUCUGGCGGGCAUGCCUGUUCGAGCGUCAUUUCAACCCUCAAGCUCUGCUUGGUGUUGGGGCUCUACGGUUGACGUAGGCCCUUAAAGGUAGUGGCGGACCCUCUCGGAGCCUCCUUUGCGUAGUAACAUUUCGUCUCGCAUUGGGAUUCGGAGGGACUCUAGCCGUAAAACCCCCAAUUUUACUAAGGUUGACCUCGGAUCAGGUAGGAAUACCCGCUGAACUUAAGCAUAUCAAUAA